rnacentral:pre_miRNA from 1 species
UCUGAGUGGAAUGUUGUCUGGUUCAAGGUCUCACUUUGCGGUUUUGAGGAUGAUUUGCGCAAAGUUUUUCACUCCUCUCAUCCGCGGGAUCUCGGACCAGGCUUCAUUCCCCUCAGA